rnacentral:rRNA from 1 species
GCGGCAGUGCCUAAUACAUGCAAGUCGAACGCACUCUCGUUUAGAUUGAAGGAGCUUGCUCCUCAUUGAUAAACAUUUG